rnacentral:rRNA from 1 species
GAUGAACGCUGGCGGCGUGCCUAAUACAUGCAAGUCGAGCGAACGGACGAGAAGCUUGCUUCUCUGAUGUUAGCGGCGGACGGGUGAGUAACACGUGGAUAACCUACCUAUAAGACUGGGAUAACUUCGGGAAACCGGCGCUAAUACCGGAUAAUCUUUUGAACCGCAUGGUUCAAAAGUGAAAGACGGUCUUGCUGUCACUUAUAGAUGGAUCUGCGCUGCAUUAGCUAGUUGGUAAGGUAACGGCUUACCAAGGCAACGAUGCAUAGCCGACCUGAGAGGGUGAUAGGCCACACGGGAACGGAGACACGGUCCAGACUCCUACGGGAGGCAGCAGUAGGGAAUGUUCCGCAGAGGGCGAAAGCCUGACGGAGCAACGCCGCGUGAGUGAUGAAGGUGUUCGGAUCGUAAAACUCUGUUAUUAGGGAAGAACAUAUGUGUAAGUAACUGUGCACAUCUUGACGGUACCUAAUCAGAAAGCCACGGCUAACUACGUG